AUACGUAUGUCGCAAGCGUUAUCCGGAAUUAUUGGGCGUAAAGCGAGUCUAGGCGGCUUGUUAAGUCAGAUGUGAAAAUGCGGGGCUCAACUCCGUAUUGCGUUUGAAACUGGCAGGCUAGAGUACUGGAGAGGUGGGCGGAACUACAAGUGUAGAGGUGAAAUUCGUAGAUAUUUGUAGGAAUGCCGAUAGUGAAGACAGCUCACUGGACAGAUACUGACGCUAAAGCUCGAAAGCGUGGGGAGCGAACAGGAUUAGAUACCCUUGUAGUCC
rnacentral:rRNA from 1 species